GUGGGGAAUAUUGGACAAUGGGCGGAAGCCUGAUCCAGCCAUGCCGCGUGCAGGAAGAAGGCCUUCGGGUUGUAAACUGCUUUUGUACGGAACGAAACGGUCCGGGUUAAUACCCUGGGCUAAUGACGGUACCGUAAGAAUAAGCACCGGCUAACUACGUGCCAGCAGCCGCGGUAAUACGUAGGGUGCAAGCGUUAAUCGGAAUUACUGGGCGUAAAGCGUGCGCAGGCGGUUUUGUAAGACAGGCGUUAAAGCCCCGGGCUCAACCUGGGAAUUGCGCGUGUGAAUGCAAGGCUGGAGUGCGGCAGAGGGGGAUGGAAUUCCGCGUGUAGCAGUGAAAUGCGUAGAUAUGCGGAGGAACACCGAUGGCGAAGGCAAUCCCCUGGGCCUGCACUGACGCUCAUGCACGAAAGCGUGGGGAGCAGACAGGAUUAGAAACCCGAGUAGUCC
rnacentral:rRNA from 1 species